AGCUGCGGUCAUACGUACUGGAAAGCACCGGAUCCCGUCCGAUCUCCGAAGUUAAACCUGUAACGGCACGGUCAGUACUGUGGUGGGAGACCACAUGGGAAUACCGUGUACUGCAGUUU
rfam:Amphiamblys sp. WSBS2006 Amphi_2135, whole genome shotgun sequence.